AAGGAGCAGAUAAAGAAACUGAGGCAUUCCUACCUAGCUCUCUAUUUAUAUCCUCUCGUUAGUUGCUUCUUAUCUAUGGAAGCUGCAGCAGCCUCAAACUGACAACAGCAGCGACAGAACCACCACCAACAUAUAUGAAUAUGAGGAAGCAGCAGUAUAUAUGUAGGCUACAAAUUAGAGCGAGCAAGGAGAGGGUGUAGAUAAGCUUAAUAUCGUGCACCAUCGAUCGGCAGUUGAAGCUGCCAGCAUGAUCUGAGCUUUCCUUCAACAGGAAAGAACAGAUCAUGUGGCAACUUCACCUGUCCAUGGUAGCAUGGAAACCCAACAAAGGCCCAAUUCCCCUUCUUCUCUGAUUUGCUAGUUGCUGCUUCUGCAAAAAACAGAAAAAGUGAACCCAUCCAUUAGGGUUUCCUCUUUAAUUACUUCAAAACCAAACCCUUCCAUUAGGGUUUCCUCUUUAAUUUCUUCAAAACCAAACCCUUCCAUUAGGGUUUCCUCUUUAAUUACUUCAAAACCCUAGAUAUAGAUAGAUAGAUAGAUAGGGAGGGUUUCUGUGCUUUCUUUCUGCUGCCUGGUGCUGAGGCUUGUCUCUUCUUCCCCGGACUGCUGCUGCUGCUGCUGCUAUUCUUGUGAAGAUGCUAGGGUUUCAAGUGACAGGAUUUCUGCCUUAACGUGGUUGGUGCUUUUGAGAUCCCUCCUCGUGUCUUGGGGAUCUGAUUUUUAUACUCUCAAAAUGUAUCUUUUUGUCUUCCAAUUGAUAAAAAAGAAAACUAAAAUACAAAAUAUUUUCAUUGAACCCGAUGAGAAAUACACUAGUUAUUUGAGAUAUAUGAAGGUUAGCACAAAAGAUCAAUCAAAAUGUUUUUAAAAACUUCUUGUAGAACCCUUUCAAGUAAUGUUGUAACUUUUAUGCUUACCUUUAAAUUUGAAAAUUUUAUAUAAGAGCGAUCACAAGCGAACAAGAACACUAACUAAAUGCACACUAAAUGCUCAAACUUCAAACCUUAAUUAAGUUUUAAUGAUCUGAUAUUAAUUUAAUUUCACACAUGUAUAGUACUUCCUCGAGAGCUUAUGCCAUAGGUUUGCUUCCAUCUAAAUAUAUAUCAAUAUCUGCAUUUGGCCUUUCGCUAUUUUUCAUCAAUUGGGAUAUUGUGAAUAAUUAAGUAAUUCCUAACGUAUUGUAUUUGAAUGUAAACAGAUUGCCACACACAUAAAUGUGUUUCAUUUUCCAUGAAUCUCAACUGCACCCCUCCACGGAUGUUCUUCCAUCACAACAGUACACUUGAAAUUCUUGACCAUUUAAUUCAACACAAGAAUGAUUAAUUAUGUCCAAAAUCCAUAAAAAUCACUAUUACUUCUACCUACUUUCUACUUGCCCCCUUAUUGACUAACUGGCCGGGGCAUUUGAACCAUUAAUACACUUGACUAAUUGCAGCUUCUCUUUGAUAUUUGAUAUCCCAUUAAGACUUCAUUAACAUAAGAAUGAAUUAUCCCAUUUGAAAAUUAAGUUUGUUGCGGACUUGCAGGAUUGAAAACUAGGCUAAGAUUCUUCAACAAGAGAUCAGGGAGUAAAUUCUUUGUACAUAUAUAUAUGGUGAAUGUUUUUGAAGGGCUUUAAAUUCUGUAUGGAUGUGUCUAUAUCACUAGUGGACGCCCAAGUAGAUGUCUGUACUCUUGGCUUGCUUAUUUGAUUUUCUUUCCCUUUUUUCUUAUUGUAUUAAAUUAAUUUCCUCAGUAGAAAUCAUUACAGAUGAUGAUGUGACAUUGUAAAUAUUAAACCACUUAAAAAAUAGUGGCAUAUAUAUACUAAUGUUAAAGGUUGCGGCCGUUGAUUGUUUC